rnacentral:rRNA from 1 species
UGGUGCCAGCAGCCGCGGUAAUUCCAGSUCCAAUAGCGUAUAUUAAAGUUGUUGCAGUUAAAAAGCUCGUAGUUGAAUUUCGGGAUCAGCAGGUUGGUCGUGCCUCUGGUAUGCACUGGUUUCGCUGAUUCCUCCUUUCUGAAGAACUGUAAUGUCAUUAAUUUGGUGUUGCAGGGAAACAGGACUGUUACUUUGAAAAAAUUAGAGUGUUUAAAGCAGGCUAACGCUUGAAUACAUUAGCAUGGAAUAAUGAAAUAGGACGUUUGAUUCUAUUUUGUUGGUUUCUAGGAUUGACGUAAUGAUUAAUAGGGAUAGUUGGGGGCAUUAGUAUUCAAUUGUCAGAGGUGAAAUUCUUGGAUUUAUUGAAGACUAACUACUGCGAAAGCAUUUGCCAAGGAUGUUUUCAUUAAUCAAGAACGAAAGUUAGGGGAUCGAAGACGAUCAGAUACCGUCGUAGUCUUAACCAUAAACUAUGCCGACUAGGGAUCGGAUGAUGUUAAUUUUUUAAUGACUCAUUCGGCGCCU